rnacentral:rRNA from 1 species
UAACUGCGGGGUUGCAGGCGAUACGGGCAUAACUUGAGUGCUGUGGGGGAGACUGGAAUUCCUGGUGUAGCGGUGGAAUGCGCAGAUAUCAGGAGGAACACCGAUGGCGAAGGCAGGUCUCUGGGCAGUAACUGACGCUGAGGAGCGAAAGCAUGGGGAGCGAACAGGAUUAGAUACCCUGGUAGUCCAUGCCGUAAACGGUGGGCGCUAGGUGUGAGUCCCUUCCACGGGGUUCGUGCCGUAGCUAACGCAUUAAGCGCCCCGCCUGGGGAGUACGGCCGCAAGGCUAAAACUCAAAGGAAUUGACGGGGGCCCGCACAAGCGGCGGAGCAUGUGGAUUAAUUCGAUGCAACGCGAAGAACCUUACCUGGGCUUGACAUACACUGGAUCGGGCUAGAGAUAGUCUUUCCCUUUGUGGCUGGUGUACAGGUGGUGCAUGGUUGUCGUCAGCUCGUGUCGUGAGAUGUUGGGUUAAGUCCCGCAACGAGCGCAACCCUUGUCUUAUGUUGCCAGCAUUUGGUUGGGGACUCAUGAGAGACUGCCGGGGUGAACUCGGAGGAAGGUGGGGAUGACGUCAAAUCAUCAUGCCCCUUAUGUCCAGGGCUUCACACAUGCUACAAUGGUCGGUACAACGCGUGUGCGAUCCUGUGAGGGUGUGCUAAUCGCUGAAAGCCGGUCGUAGUUCGGAUGGGGGUCUGCAACUCGACCCCAUGAAG